AGAGAUGAAUUGGAAGAACUUACUCUUAAUAAGUAUACAGUUUAUACAAAUAUGAAAUUCAGCUGAAAUAAUUAUAAUUGAAGAAACAAUCUUUUGGAGACUAGAUUCAUAUCUAGUUUGGCCAAAAAGAUUUAAUUCACCAAAUGUGAUGAGUUGGAAAAGAAGAUUUGAUGUGAGAAUCAUUCAAAAGCAAAUAAAAUAGGAAAAAGCUGAUGAAGAGCAAACAGCACACCAUGGAGAUCUUGUAGGUUCAGUACCAGAGUACCACAUUAAAGCAAAUACCACAAUAAAGACUAUGAAGAUAAAGUUUUGUCUCCUGUCAUCAUAGGAAAUCCCCUUGAAAGAGAUGUAGACCUGAGCCAUCCAUGUAGAUGGAGGAUUAAUAUUCCAGGUAAAGCCAAAGCCAGUGCCAAGACAGUAAAGCUAAAGUGUGCCUGGAUUCUAUCUAACUAUAUUUUGUACCCAAUAAAAAUCCCUCUUUACUACUCACUUUCCACUACACUUGCCAGCUUCUGGUAACCACCAUUUUAUUUACUACCUCCAUGAGAUCAAGUGUUUUAGCUCCUAUAUAUGAAUGAAUACUUGCAAAAUUUA